UACGUAGGGGGCGAGCGUUGUCCGGAAUCAUUGGGCGUAAAGCGCGUGUAGGCGGCCCGGUAAGUCCGCUGUGAAAGUCCAGGGCUCAACCCUGGGAUGCCGGUGGAUACUGUCGGGCUCGAGUCCGGAAGAGGCGAGUGGAAUUCCUGGUGUAGAGGUGAAAUGCGCAGAUAUCAGGAGGAACACCAAUGGCGAAGGCAGCUCGCUGGGACGGUACUGACGCUGAGACGCGAAAGCGUGGGGAGCAAACAGG
rnacentral:rRNA from 1 species